AUGACAGCUCUCUGCCAGUUACUGAUAGCCAUCCUCACCAUAGCCAGAAUUGGCGGGCAAGUUGUAGUAACCCAAUAUCCUCCCGAGAUAACGGAAUUUGAAGGUCAAAAUGUGACUCUGAACUGCAGUUAUUCCACAAAGGUGACGGCCUUCUGGUACAUGCAAAAUCCGGAUGGAGCUCUUCAGUACUUGUUCAGGAUAUAUGCCUCUGGAAAGGCAGAAAAUCCUCCUGACCGUUUCGUUGCCGAGCUGAUCGAGGAGAAUAAAGUAAUUAAGCUGCAGAUACACUGGGCUGUUGUGGGUGACAGCGCUGUAUAUUACUGUGCCCUGGAGCCCACACUGUUACAGGAGGGCAGCUUCCCCGUACAAAAACUCAGCAAACACUCAUGA